UAUGUGAUCGUCUCUCGCAUAUCAAUAAGCGGAGGAAAAGAAACUAACAAGGAUUCCCUUAGUAACGGCGAGUGAAGCGGGAAGAGCUCAAAUUUGAAAUCUUCAAGGUUUUACCUUGACGAAUUGUAGUUUAAAGAAGUGUUUUCUGUUGAAGUUUUGGUAAAAGUUCUUUGGAAUAGGACAUCAUAGAGGGUGAGAAUCCCGUAUUUGACCAUUAUUUUCAGCUGUGUGAUACACUUUCAAAGAGUCGGAUUGUUUGGGAAUGCAGUCCAAAAUGGGUGGUAAAUUUCAUCUAAAGCUAAAUAUUGGCGAGAGACCGAUAGCGAACAAGUACCGUGAGGGAAAGAUGAAAAGAACUUUGAAAAGAGAGUUAAACAGUACGUGAAAUUGUCAAAAGGGAAGCGUUUGACACCAGUGUUGUUUUCUCGAAAAUCAAUUAAAAAGGCAUGAUUUUGUGUUGUAUUGACCUUAAUCAGCUUCUGCACUUCAAUUUUCUUGUCUUUUUUAAUGCACUUUUCGUUUAACAAGUCAACAUCAGUUUCUUUUGUUGUAAAAGGUCAUUGGAAGGUGGCUUUCUUUUCGGAGAAAGUGUUUAUAGCCUUUGCCUCUGCAAUCGGAGAGAUUGAGGUCUGCAGCGUAGAUCCUUCGGGGUUAGAUACAUUUGUGCUAAGUUAUAGCCUUUUCAUAGACAACUUGUUGACUAUGAUCAGUCAUGUAGCUUACUCGCUUAUGCUAUUUUACCUACGCUUAGGAUGUUGACGAUCAGCUGAGCGCG
rnacentral:rRNA from 1 species